CCCAACUCAAGAUAAAGAAUAGUAAACUAAGGGAUGAAUGAUAUAACAAAAAUAAGGAAUAAGAAAUAUUAAAAUAGAAAUCAGAGAAGUAUGAAAUACGAGAAAUAACGACAACACAAAAAGAGAAAAUAGGAACUAAGAAAUAAGAAAUAGGACACCCACCUAGUAGUAACAUACACUCACAUACCAAAGACACUUAUGCACACAGUCUUAGGAUUACUAGCC
rnacentral:lncRNA from 1 species